AAUCUGCCUAGCAGGCGGCUCUCCCCUGCUCCCCCACCGAGCACAGACCGUGGGAGGGGACCCUGCGGCAGGAGGCUGCUCCAGUCUCCAGAGACCAUCUCCCGUCUCUACAGCGACUCCCCUAUGACCGCCCCCCACCCGGUGCUCUCGGGUCACGGGGAAGGGACACUCGAGAAAGACACCAGAGACCAGGAGGGUGCAGCUGGGCUCUUCGCGGGGAGCGGGCGGGAGGCCUUCCUGUUACAUGUCACAGCUGGGACACAGGGGCCAGCCCUCCAGGGUCCAUUUGCCGGCUUCGGUUCCCCCAGGCCCAGGACCAGGCUCCACACCGCUGUCGCGUCCCUUAGCCGCGUGGGCUGUAGCACAGAGGGGGCAAACACCUCCAGGGCCUUGUGCCAGACGUUCCUUUAACAGAAGAGCGCUCUCAGCCCUCAAAGAUCCCAUGCAGAGGGCUCACCUACUGCAGGAUAAGAGAGCCAAGUAAGUUGCCACGCUUUUUCCAUUCACCUCUUCCUUCCUCUGCAGAGAAAGGCAGGAGACCACACCUGUGUUUGUGAUAUUACAGACACGCUGAGAUCCACAAAUGUGUCAUUAGCCCACCAGGUUGGCACAGAACGGCUGCAUCCGAAGGUGAUUUAACGCAGGUAGAACCCUGCUUACAGAUGGGCGGGCUUCCAAAGAUUUGCUUGUAGCUUAGUUAUUAUGAAUCAGGAGUGUUUUCCUUUCACAGAAAAAGUGUUAAAUGCAGGGGGAGGUUUUCAGGGAACUCCUGAAAAAUCAAUCUAACUCACAAUAAUUAAAAUACGAAAUAUGAUCAUUUCUGUCCCCAACACCCAAAUUUCAUACAUGCCAUUGUUCCAGUGGGAAAAUAUAUUGUGAGUUCCAACUGUGUGUAUCAGGACCAGUGCUUCUCGCUCAUCAGUGUAGCUCACCUGACAGCAGCUUCAUGGAAAGAGGGUGGGAGGGAAAGAAGGAUGAUACUGGGCCAGAUACUUCUGGACACCAGUAAAACAAUAGGUAAAGAGUGUAAAAUAUUCACAUUUUUAAAAGCAGGACCAUAUAGUUGAUUACAUUUAGGUCUCGUGGUAACUCUGCAAGGAUAAGUAUUAUGAUCUCCAUUCUAGAGAAAUGGAGUGUGAGACUCAGAGAUGUCAAGAGACACUUCAGGCUCACACAGCAGAGACAGUUGCUGCCCUCAGAAUGGAAUGCAUCUCACAUCUGCAUCUGACCUCUAGGUCAACCUCUCUUCAGCUUGGCUGUGGUAGGGAAUUCAGUUUCUGGGUGUUAAUGUGUCCAGCAAUCCCAGCUAGUCUGUCUGGCAGGACACAGAAGCCCAUUCUUCUCUAGGAAUGACUAUGACCCUGGGGGCUAGGACAGGGCAAUUCGUGCUGCUGCUGUGUGAGGGCUGGGCAGAGGUUUGGAGGUGAUAGCAGCCUGUGCAGACUGCAGAGUUUUUAGGAUAAAUGGUGAUUUUCCUCCUUGGUGAUUUCCCAAGGCCACUGAGGCCUGACAAUUCUGGCAGGGAAACCAAAUUUAAAUGAGUCCCUUUUCAUGUCUGCCUGAGGGGUAGACAUUAGUCAGAGAGCUAACAACCUUUCCUGACUGUUUCCUGUGUUCUGGACACGGUAUAUGGGGGUUGUGAAGAAACACAGUCAUUGUUCCAAAGGUAUUUUGUACCUGGACAAAAUAAAACAAACAGAGAAACGAAUACGCACAGGAAAUGUCGAACAAGUUAGCGUAGAUUCCUCCACCUGUGAAGUGAACUGCAGAGGGCGCCUGUGAGCAUCAUCAGUUAGGGGUGGGCUCACUCAGAAAAGGCUUCUGACUUGGCUAUGAAAAGUGCUAUAGAAUGUGAGAAUUGGAAAGGUGUUUCGAUUUUUAGUUCAACCCCUAUAUUUUCUUUCCGAUCAGAAAACUGAGGCCCAGGGAAGUUAGUGACUGGCCUAUGAGUUUUUCUUUUUUCUUUUUCUUUUGAGACAAGGUUUCACUCUGUCACCCAGGCUACAGUGCAGUGGUUCAAUCUAGGCUCACUGCAAUAUCCACCCCCUGGGCUCAAGUGAUCCUCUCACCUCAGUCCCCUAAGUACCCGGGACCACAGGUAUACACCACGAUGCUGGGAAAAUUUUUUUUUUUUUUUUUGAAACGGAGUUUUGUUCUUGUUGCCCAGGCUGGUGUACAGUGGCGUGAUCUUGGCUCACCGCAACCUCUGCCUCCUGGGUUCAAAUGAUUCUCCUGCCUCAGCCUCCCAAGUAGUUGGGAUUACAGGCACCGGACACCAUGCCCAGAUUUUUUUUUUUUUUUUGUAUUUUUAGUAGAGACAGGGUUUCUCCAUGUUGGUCAUGCUGGUAUCAAAAUCCCGACCUCAGGUGAUCCGCCUGCCUCGGCCUCCCAAAGUGCUGGGAUUACAGGCGUGAACCACUGUGGCUGGCCUGCUAAUUUUUUUUUUUUUUUUAAAUUUUGUAGAUACGAGGGCUUCCUAUGUUGCCCAGGUUGGUUUCAGACUCCUGGGCUCAAGAAAUCUGCCCCACUUGGACUCCCAAAGUGCUGGGAUUAUAGGCAUGAGCCACUGUGCACAGGCCUGGCCUAAGGUUUUAAGCUAAUAAAUGGGAGAGAGAGGAUGAGAAUUCAGGUUUCCUCACUCUGUGUCUAGUUGCUCAUAAUUACAUUGGAAGGGGAUGGGGAAAGAACCAAUUAAAAAAGAUGUCAGAGGAAGGAAGUGGAGAUAGUGGAUUUUACAGACAGGAGUCCAUGUGGAGGAGAGGUAAGAAAUUGGGUAAAUAAGGGUGUGGGAACCAGGUGGCCAGAGGCCUUGAAGGUUGAGUGGAUAAAAUAUUUGUGUUUUUCCUGACUGACAAUAAGGGACAGAGGGAUAGAGAGACAGCCAUGCUAACUCCCAGGGGCAUCUUCUGCUGACAUUGUUUGUAUAAUAAAAAUGGUUAUUCUGCAAACAGCCCAUUUUAAAUCAGAUGCCCAGACUUUCGGCUUGUUGAAUUCACCCAGUGUGGUAAUCUGGGCCAGAAAUUUUG
ensembl:lncRNA